rnacentral:sRNA from 1 species
UGCUAGUGGAGCCAUGUGGCAUUGUC